rnacentral:sRNA from 1 species
AAAAAAACACAGGAGCUUCUUCAGGAGGAGACACGCCAGAAACUAAACCUGAGCAGUCGGAUCCGGCAGCUGGAAGAGGAGAAGAACAGUCUUCAGGAGCAGCAGGAGGAGGAGGAGGAGGCCAGGAAGAACCUGGAGAAGCAAGUGCUGGCCCUGCAGUCCCAGUUGGCUGAUACCAAGAAGAAAGUAGAUGACGACCUGGGAACAAUUGAAAGUCUGGAAGAAGCCAAGAAGAAGCUUCUGAAGGAUGCGGAGGCCCUGAGCCAGCGCCUGGAGGAGAAGGCACUGGCGUAUGACAAACUGGAGAAGACCAAGAACCGCCUGCAGCAGGAGCUGGACGACCUCACGGUGGACCUGGACCACCAGCGCCAGGUCGCCUCCAACUUGGAGAAGAAGCAGAAGAAGUUUGACCAGGUGGGUCGGCCACGUGUCGUUUCCUCCUGGCAGAGCUCUUGCUUUUGUUUGUUUGGUUUAAAAUAAUCUUAUUUAAAGGCAUUUAAAUGUGAUACAUGUUUAUAUCAAAAUUGGAAAAAGGGA